rnacentral:rRNA from 1 species
GAUGAACGCUAGCGGCAGGCCUAAUACAUGCAAGUCGAACGAAGAUCUAGCUUGCUAGAUCUUAGUGGCGAACGGGUGAGUAAUACAUAAAUAAUCUGCCCAUAUGACUGGGAUAACUAUUGGAAACGAUAGCUAAUACCGGAUAGGUUGAUUGGAGGCAUCUCUGAUUAAUUAAAGUAGGAUUUCUACACAAAUGGAUGAGUUUAUGGCGCAUUAGUUAGUUGGUGGGGUAACGGCCUACCAAGACGAUGAUGCGUAGCCGACCGGAGAGGGUGACCGGCCACACUGGGACUGAGACACGGCCCAGACUCCUACGGGAGGCAGCAGUAGGGAAUUUUCGGCAAUGGGCGCAAGCCUGACCGAGCAACGCCGCGUGAGUGAUUAAGGCCUUCGGGUUGUAAAGCUCUGUUGUAAGGGAAGAACAUUCAGGAUAGGAAAUGAUCUUGAACUGACGGUACCUUACCAGAAAGCCACGGCUAACUACGUGCCAGCCGCCGCAGUAAUAC